GCAGCAGCCACGGUAAUACGAAGGGGGCUAGCGUUGUUCGGAUUUACUGGGCGUAAAGGGAGCGUAGGCGGGUCGCUUAGUCAGAGGUGAAAUCCCGGGGCUCAACCUCGGAACUGCCUUUGAUACUGGCGACCUUGAGUAUGGGAGAGGUAAGUGGAACUCCGAGUGUAGAGGUGAAAUGCGUUGAGAUCGGAAGGAACGCCCGUGGCGAAAGCGAGGUCCUGGACGUUUUCUGACGCUGAGACGCGAAAGCCAGGGGAGCGAACAGGAUUAGAUACCCCCGUAGUCCCUGUCUCUUAUAC
rnacentral:rRNA from 1 species